rnacentral:rRNA from 1 species
AGCCGCCGCGGUAACACCAGCGCCACGAGUGGUGGCCAUUAUUAUUGGGCUUAAAGCGUCCGUAGCCGGUUUAGUAAGUCUUUUGUGAAAUCGUUCAGCUUAACUGAACGGCAUGCAGAGGAAACUACUAAACUUGGAACCGGGAGGGGUCGGAAGUAUUCUUGGGGGAGCGGUAAAAUGUUAUAAUCCCAAGAGGACUACCGGUGGCGAAGGCGUCCGACCAGAACGGAUUCGACGGUGAGGGACGAAGGCUAGGGGAGCGAACCGGAUUAGAUACCCGAGUAGUCCUAGCAGUAAACUCUGCGAGCUAGGUGUUGCAUAUUCUACGAGAAUAUGCAGUGUCGAAGCGAAAGCAUUAAGCUCGCCGCCUGGGGAGUAUAGUCGCAAGACCGAAACUUAAAGGAAUUGGCGGGGGAGCACUACAAGGGGUGCGGCGUGCGGUUUAAUCUAACUCAACGCACAGAAUCUCACCAGCAGCGACGGCAGAAUGAAAGUCAGUCUAAAGGGCUUACUUGACGGGCCGAGAGGUGGUGCAUGGCCGUCGUCAGCUCGUGUCGUGAGAUGUCCAGUUAAGUCUGGCAACGAGCGAGACCUGUACCCACAAUUGCUAACGACUCUUUAGAGGAUUGAGCACAAUGUGGGGACUGCCUUGGAAACAAGGAGGAAGGUGCAGGCUACGGUAGGUCUGUAUGCCCCGAAUCUGCUGGGCUACACGCGCGCAACAAUGGUGAAGACAAUGGGAUGCAACUCCGAAAGGAGAAGCUAAUCCUCGAAACUUCAUCCAAGUCCAGAUUGAGGGUUGUAACUCACCCUCAUGACGCCGGAAUCCCUAGUAAUCAGAGUUUAGCAUACUCCGGUGAAUAUGUCCCUGCUCCU